rnacentral:ncRNA from 1 species
CAUAAAGGCUUGAUCCUGGCCUUAAAAUCAAUUUUUACUUGACCUACACAUGCAAGCCUCCGCACUCCUGUGAGAACGCCUCCUUAUCUUAAAAGAAUAAGCAGAGCUGGCAUCAGGCACAAUAACUUACCCCAAGACGCCUAGUUUCACCACAUCUAUAAAGACAUGCAGCAGUGAUAAACAUUGAAUAUAAGCGCCAGCUUGAUUCAGUUAGAGUAAGCAGGGCCGGCAAACUUGGUGCCAGCCGCCGCGGUUAAACCACAGAGCCCAGAUUGAUUCUGCCUCCGGCGUAGAGCGUGGUUAAAGCAACAUUCACUUAGAGUUAAACUUAAACCAAACUGUAAAACUCUGGUUUAACGGAAGCCCAAACACGAAAGUUAUUCUAAUUAUACUUGACCCCACGAUAGUUAGGACACAAACUGGGAUUAGAUACCCCACUAUACCUAACUGUAAACCUUAACUUACACCAAAAUCGCCAGGGAACUACGAGCAAAGCUUAAAACCCAAAGGACUUGACGGUGCCCCAUACCCACCUAGAGGAGCCUGUCCUAUAAUCGACGAUCCCCGCUACACCCCACCACUUUUAGCCUCUCAGUCUGUGUACCUCCGUCUUCAGCUCACCGCAUGAACGACACCCAGUGAGCUCAAUGUUCUCACCCAUCAAUACGUCAGGUCAAGGUGCAGCAAAUAAAGUGGUAAGAGAUGGGCUACACUCUCUAAAAUAGAAUAUACGAAAGAUCAGCAUGAAAUCCUAUCUGAAGGUGGAUUUAGAAGUAAAAAGAAAUAGAAAAUUCUCUUUAACCAGGCAAUGGGGCGUGUACACACCGCCCGUCACCCUCUUCAAAGCACACAUUUAGUACUUAACCCCAUACGCACAAGAGAAGAGGUAAGUCGUAACAUGGUAAGUAUACCGGAAGGUGUACUUGGAAA